UAGAUGAUGUAAUUUUGGGAAUA
rnacentral:siRNA from 1 species